CUGGGUUGAUCCUUCCAGAAGCAUGUGCUUGUCUGAAAGCCAUGCACGUGUAAGUACACACUGCCGGUACAGUGACACUGUGAAUGGCUCAUUAAAUUAGCUAUGGGUCCUUAAUCAGUUAACUGUGGUAAUCCUAUAUCAAAUACAUGCUGACAAAUGCUGACCACCCGCGAGUCGUGCAUUUAUCAGACCAAGACCAAUCCUGGCUCUCCUGGCCCCUUUGGUGUCUCUAGAUACGUUUCUGUAGAUCACACAUCCCCAUGACGUCAAGAAUACAUUCUGAUGUCAGCCCUAUCAACUUCUGAAAAAUACAUUCUGUGCCUAUCAUGGUGACCAAAGGUAACAGGGAAUCAGGUUUUGCUUCCAUAGAGGGAGCCAGAGAAACGGCUAUCAGAUCCAAGAAAGGGAGCAGGCUUGCAAAUUAACCACUCCCCACCCAGGGAGAUAGUGAUGGAAAAUGCAAUACAGGGGUCUGUCGAGGCACUGUAAUUUGAAUGAGUACAAUUGCAAUCUAUUAACAAGGAUUCAUGGGAGUGCAAUUGCGCUGCCAGCAGCCAUGGUAAUUAUAGCUCGAAUAGUGUAUAUUAAAGUUUUUGCAGUUGAUCAGAUUAUAGUUGGAUCUUGAGAUUUUGCUAGCAUUCAGACACAGGGCACGUUAAUACCUGUCCUAGCCCUUGCCUCUCAGCACCCCCUUGGAGAUCUUGACUUUGUGUCCUGGGGGUCAAAAGCGUUUACUUUGGAAAUAAAACAGUGUUCAAAGCAGGCCAGUCACCGGAAUACUUGAGCUAGGAAUGAUGGAAUAGGACUGCUUUUCUAUGUUUUUUUGUUAUCAGAAAUGGGGCCAUGAUUAAGAGGGGCGGCCUGGGGCACUAGUAUUGUGCUGCUAGAGGUUAACGUGUUGGACCAUCGUACUUCUGACCAUACAUGAUGCCAACCAGUGUCCCGGCAGUUGUUUCCCAUGACUUGCCAAGCAUUUUCUGGGAUUCCAAUGUCUUUAAGUUCCGGGGGGAGUAUAGUUGCAUAGCUGAAACUUAAAGGAAUUGACGGAAAGGCACAGCCAUGAGUGGCACCUGUGGCUUAAUUUGACUCAACACAGGAAACUUCACCAGACACAGAUAUGAUUGACAGAUUGAUGGCUCCUUCGAUAUUCUCCGUCUGGUGGUGCAUGGCCGUGAUCAGUCGAUGGAGUGAAUCGUCUGGUUAAUUGCGAUGACAAAAACUCCCCCAUCUUGACUAGAAACGGGACCCACAGCAGUCAGCCUUCAACUUCUUAGAGCAACAAGUAGCAUUCUGCAACUCAAGAUCGAUCAAUAACAGGUCUGUGAUAUACUUAGAUGUCUGGGCUGCAUGUGCACUACAUUGAACAGAUCAGCAUGUGUCUACCAUUUGCCAGCAGGUGUGGCUAACCAGCUGAAACCUGUUUAUGAUAUGGAUUGUGGUUUGCAAUUUUUUCCCAUGAAUGAGGAAUUCCCAGUAAGUGCAGGUCAUAUGCUCACAUUUAUAAAGUCCCUGUGCUUGGUACAUACCACCCAUCUCUACUACAGAUUGGAUGUUUCAGUGAUGUCCUCUAUUGGAACCACCGGGGUUGGCAAUGGCCCUGACAGUGCAUUGAGAAGACAAUGAAACUUAGCUAUCUAGAGGAACUGAAAGUGGUAACAAGUUUUCUAUAGGGAAACCUGCAGAAG
rnacentral:rRNA from 1 species